rnacentral:tRNA from 1 species
AAAAUCCGUCGACUUAAAAAAGUCGUGAGGGUUCAAGUCC